rnacentral:rRNA from 1 species
CGGCAAUUGCUCAAAUUUGAAAUCUGACUUCUUUUUGAGGUCCGAAUUGUAAUUUGUAGAGGAUGCUUUUGGUGCGGUGCCUUCCGAGUUCCCUGGAACGGGACGCCUUAGAGGGUGAGAGCCCCGUACGGUUGGACGCCUAGCCUCUGUAAAGCUCCUUCGAC